rnacentral:rRNA from 1 species
UACGGGGGGAGCAAGCGUUGUUCGGAUUUACUGGGCGUAAAGGGCGCGUAGGCGGUCGUGACAAGUCACUUGUGAAAUCUCCGGGCUUAACUCGGAACGGUCAAGUGAUACUGUCGGACUAGAGUACAGAAGGGGCAACUGGAAUUCCCAGUGUAGAGGUGAAAUUCGUAGAUAUUGGGAAGAACACCGAUGGCGAAGGCAGCCAUCUGGACCGACACUGACGCUGG